CAACAAAGGGGCGUGCGUCACCGCGUCGCGCUGCGUCGUCGCGUCACUCCUCUUUGCGUCACUGCGCCCCGCCCCACCGCCCCUGCGUGGAGCCCGGGGAGACCCCACGGCCCGGCCUUCCUGGGCCUGGGACCCGAGGGGAGCCGAGCGGGAAUUGCUUUCCUGGUUCGAUCCGCUGCCGCUGUGAGGGCCGAGCGGAAACCCGUAGACCUUUUAUGUGAAGAGAUUGCGGCCUCCUGGUCACCAGUCACCGAGAGAGGGACCCCUGGACCGCCUACGUGGUGGUGUCUGCCGCAGGCCAUAGGGAUCCAGCCCACUUAGGCAGUCCCUUGGGGACGCGGCCUUCCCUCCGGAGCGGAAAGGCGCUUCCCGCCCGCCCUGCGGUAAUCCCGGAAGCCCUCAGCCGUUAAGCUAAAAUUUCUGUUGCUUUGGCUACUGAUGGAAACCUGUUGUAAGUGGAACCUCUAAACUGUAUGACAGGUGAACCCACUUUAGGUAGCUGUGUGAUUCUGUCCACUUGUACAGACGUGCAGUGGUUUUUAAGUCUCCUAUAAUGACGUCAUUUUAAAGAGGCAUUUCCUCCACCCCGCUGACAAGAGCGCCUCUUGAGGGCCCUAAACAAUGUAAACAGCGAUGAUUUUCAUGAAUUGAGCACUGUGUAAGGGCUUUACAUAUAUUCUGUCUCAUCUUCACGGAGCCAUAGUACCCAUUUUAUACCUGAGGAACCUGAAGCUCAGAAAGGAAAAGGGACCUGGCCAAGACCACAUAACCCUUGCCCUAUUUUAACCGCUGGAUGCCCCAAAACAUGAAUCAUAAAAAUGCUUUGUAAUGUAGAUAUAUUAUGUACUAUGUAGUACAUAAAAGACAUGAAUGCUUCAACAAAAUACAGGCAAUAAUAGAAAUAUCUACAAGGGCCAAAUGUAGCCAGAGAGAUAAUGCUUGAAUCUCAUCUGAAAGUGUGCUAUGUGAGCUGAGUGUUGAUGAAUGGCUAGGAGUUCAACAGAGAAGGUAGGGAAGAUGGUCUAGCCGCAGAGAACAAGCAAAAGCGCAGAAGGUGUCAAGUAAGUAAUAGUUUGGGGAGCUUAAAGUGCAUGGAGGGUACAUGGCAAAAUAUUAGGCAAGUUAGUCAGGGGUCAUGUCAGUUAAGAGCAUUUUAUGCCUAAGAGUGGGCUUAAAUCUUUGCAAACAGGACAUGCGAGCCAGAGAAGUGUUAUGAAGGAAGAAGAGGCAUAAGAAGGCUCCCUCUUGAGAUAAUCUGAAGAAUUGGCCAGAUUGAAAACCUUUUAAAAUCAAAACCCCUGAUUUGUUGAUAAAUCUUACUGUUCAACCUAUAGGUUCCCUUUGGAAAUUGAUUUUGAAAAGUGAAAAAUUCCAUUAUAAUGUUAAAAAGCCUCUUCCAAUUUGUCCAUUUUGUAAGUUUUAAAAUACCGAUAAUUAUAUUUCUUAACCUCAGGAUUUACAAAGUAAAGCAUUUAACCUCAAUACUGGUAGUCUAGGUUUUUGUUGUUGUUGUUGUUGUUUGUUUUUUUCUUGAGACGGAGUCUCGCUCUGUUGCCCAGAUUGGAGUACAGUGGUGAUCUCAGCUCACUGCAGCCUCUGCCUCCCAGGUUCAAGCGAUUCUCCUGUCUCAGCCUCCUGAGUAGCUGGGACUACAGGCGCAUGCCACCACCCCAGGCUAAUUUUUGUAUUUUUAGUAGAGAUGGGGUUUCACCAUAUUGGCCAGGCUGGUCUCGAAUUCCUGACUUCAGGUGAUCCACCUGCCUCGGCCUCCCAAAGUGCUGUGAUAACAGGCAUAAGCCACAGCGCCCAGCCAGGUCUAGGUUCUUUGAUUCAGUGUUUCUAUUUAGCAAUUCUAGAUUGCUGCCACAACUAAGGCAAGCCAUGGACACAAGGAACACUUCUGUCCACCCCGUCUCCAUUGUGAUAUUACCUACAGAAAAAUUCAGUAACACUCGUCAGUACCCUAAACUCCUUUGCCUCACCUUUCUUUUCAUUGUACCCCUAUCUUGAAUGAACCCUACCAUCCAUAGUCUCCACUUUGAUAAAUGGAGCAGCUGACCACUAUUAGAGAAAUGUGCAUAGCCAUCUGUAUUCUAUUACUACAUUUCUUCUUUUUUUUUUUUUUUUUGGAGACACUCUUGCUCUGGCACCCAGGCUGGAAUGCAGUGGUGCGAUCACCACUGAAGGCUCAAUGUCCCGGGCUCAAGUGAUCCUCCCACUUCAGCCUCCUGAGUUGCUGGUACUACAGGUGCACACCACCAUACCUGGCUAAUUUUUUAUUUUUUUUUACAGAUACAUCUCACUAUGUUGCUCAGACUGGUCUGGAACUCCUGGCCUCAAGCAAUCCUCCCACCUUGGCCUCCCAAAAUGCUAGGAUUACAGGUGUGAGCCACUACACCCAGCCUACUUAAUUUCAAUCACCAAGCACAACUCAACCUUCAAUAAUUCCCAGCAAUCCUAUUAAAUUUUUCUGGAUUGUUCUCCCACUCUCGACAACUCUUUCACACCUUUGCAGUUUCCUCAAACUUCAGCCCUGCCCUUUCACAUCUUCUCAAAACAUGUGACUUUUAGUCACAGAGGAAUUUGAAAAUAUCAGGACCAAUGUGACUUGAGACAUGCUGAGCAAAGAAGAGGGUGUUAAGGGAUAAAGUCAGAGAAAGCAGAUCAAGGUAGGGGGCCAGUAGGGGCCUUGUAGGUCAUCUUAAGAAGUUUACAUUAUUCCAGUGGCAAUUAUUAACGAGUUUUAAGCAGAAGAGUGAAACUAUAUGAUCUGUGUUUUUAAAAAGAUAACUGACUGCUUUAUGGUGAAUGGACUACGAAAACAAAGCAAUUAUGAGGCUAUCUCAGUAGUCCAGGUAAGUAGAUAAUAGCCUGAACUAGGGUUGUGGCAGUGGAGGUGAUAAGAAGUGGUCAGAUUGAGAUAGAAUUUGAAAGAAGAGCCAAAAUAUUUGCUGGUGGCUUGACAGUGGGUUUGAUGGAGGAAACAAGGAUGCCUACUGUAUUUGGAGCUUGAGCGACUGGGUGAAUGGUGGCAUCACUCACUGAAACAUGUUAUUUGAGGUGCUCGUUAGACAUCAGGGUAGAGGUGUUGAGUAGGCAGUUCCAUAAACUAAGAUACAAGACUGAAGGUCAGGAAAAAUUAGAGCUGGAGAUACAAUUUUACCAGAGUUUACACCAGCAAUGUUUAGAAGCGGCAUAGGAUAAAGGUGAAGAGGAUAAAAGUUAUUGAAGCAGAUGGAUCUGAAUUUGCCUAUGCACCCCCCUGCCCCGUUGCUGUCUGUAACCUUAAGCAAAUUACUAAGCCUCUCUUUUAGAGGUUUACUUUGGAGGAUCAUAAUUCCUGUUCUCAUAGGAUUAUUUGUGAGUAUCAAAUGAAAUUAUGUAUUUAAAGCAUUUGACACAGUACCUGGCACAUAGCUAAGUACUCACAAAAUCAGAGCUUUUAAAAAGUGUCAUAAGUCACCUUUAUAAUCUUUUAAUCAGUUUUGUUUAUUUGUUUGUUUGUUUGUUUUGAGACGGAGUCUCACUCUGUCGCCCAGGCUGGAGCACAGUGGAGCAAUUUCGGCUCACUGCAACCUCUGCCUCCCGGGUUCAGGCAAUUCUCCUACCUCAACCUCCUGAGUAGCUGGGACUACAGGCACGCACCACCAUGCCUGGCUAAUUUUUGUAUUUUUAGUAGAGACGGGUUUUACCAUGUUGGCAGGCUGGUCUCGACCUCCUGACCUCAUGAUCCUCCCACCUCGGCCACCCAAAGUGCUGGGAUUAUAGUCGUGAGCCACCACACCCAGCCUAAUCAGUUUUAUUUUAAUUAUGCUUAUAUGUACACAGCCUGUGUCAUCCCCAUUUUCUAGGGAAGAAAAUUGGUCUGAUUUUUUUCUCAGAAACCUUUUCCAUGAUCUCAUGACUUCAUUUUUUAUUAAUAUCAUGAAAAGUAUUACAGUGCUUCUGAAUUUCUGGGUCUCCUAUCCAUGGAUAAACCAUUAUAACCAUGGUUUGAUGGUUAAUUAGCUUUCAUUCUAUACAUAUUUUUAUAGAAUUAAUUAGUUAACAUUCGUUCUAUACAUAUUUUGGAAACCAUCUUAGAUUCAGGUUAGGUUAUGGUGCUAUUUAAGGAAAACCAGUAGAACAACUUCUCUCUGGCCCCACAUUGGCCAAGGGAUGACCCACAUACAUUAUUUUGUAUUGUUUUUUAAUGACUUGUUCUUAAAGGUAUUGCCUGUGUUAUUGUUUUCCCAGCGAUGGUGAUUACUAGCUAGAAGCACAGUAGUCUCUAAACAACAACAGGAAAAGGUUCUUGAAAAAGAAAAUACACAAAUUAAUACCUUUUUGGUGCCGAGAUAAUCAUUGUUGGUAAUUUGGCACUCCCAUUGUCCCCAAGUCCUAGUAAGGUAAAAAAAUAUUCGUAUACAUUUAUAAAAUAUCUACUCAUGGGACAAAAUUCCAUAAAUAUUUAUAUGCUAACCAAAUGAUUAUGUACUGAAUACCAACAGGAAGACUAUGCAGGUGCUUUUCAGAUAAAUAUAAAUUACAGUAGCACUGGAAUUUUUCUAAGGGCAGAUAAUAGAAGUGUAAGCUAUGGAAAAGCCAACUGUACCAACUGUUCCAGUUGGCUCAGGACAGGGGUUUCCUGGGACAUGGAGUUUUCAGUACCCAAACUGGGAAGUCCCAGGCAAGCUGGGAUGGUUUGGUCACCCUACAGGGCAUCUGACCAAAAAUUCUUAUAUGUAAGCAAUUGUCUCUAAAAUCAAGUGAGAAGAAAUUGCUUUUUGUCAUUUUGUUUAUAAAAUCAGUUUUAAUGCAGCACUUUUUGUUUUUGUUUGUUUUGUUUUGUCUUUUUUUGGUGGGGGGGGGGUGGAAACAAAGUCUCACUCUAUUGCCCAAGCUGGAGUGCACUGGCAUGAUCUCGGCCCACUGCAACCUCUGCCUCCCAGUUCAAGUGAUUCUUCUGUCUGAGCCUUCCGCAUAGCUGGGAUUACAGGCAUGCGCCACUACGCCCGGCCAAUUUUUUGUAUUCUUAGUAGAGAUGGGGUUUCA
rnacentral:lncRNA from 1 species